rnacentral:lncRNA from 1 species
GGCUGAUUUAAGUAUGACGUCCGCCAUUUUGGAUUUUACCGGAAGUGAGACAUUUUUUUCAAAUGCCUCCCUAUCUGAAAUAAAAGAGUAAUAGUUGAGGAAGGUCUAUGCCAAAUUUCAUGCUUGUAACAGGAUGUGCACAAUUCGUCUGAAAUAUGCUUGUAGCCGCCGGACUAGAAGGAUUGCUCAAUAUUUCACUUUUUUUCUCUUCCAGAUUAUAAGUUGAAAGUCGCCCAGGACAUUACCACUAUCGAUUUGAAAUUAGACCG